CUCGCUCUGUCACCCAGGCUGGAGUGCAACGGCGUGAUCUCAGCUCACUGCAACCUCCACCUCCCAGGUUCAAGUAAUUCUCCUGCCUCAGCCUCCCGAGUAGCUGGGACUACAGCUGCCCGCCACCACGCUCGGCUAAUUUUUUGUAUUUUUAGUAGAGACGGGUUUCACUGUGUUAUCCAGGAUGGUCUCGAUCUUCUGACCUCAUGAUCUGCCUGCCUCAACCUCCCAAAGUGCUUGGAUUACAGGCGUGAGUCACUGCCCCCCAUCGACACGUGGGGAUCAUUACAAUACCAGGAUAUUGAGAGGAGAGGAGAGAAGUUGACAUGGCACCACCCAGUGGAAUGACAUAGUCAGCACAGAGUGCAGUGGGAGCACAGAGGAAGAGUGCCAGGCCCAUCGUGUCCAGCUGUGUAGGUUGUGCACUGCACAACUCUGGGGUCAUAUCACAAACUGUGAGUGUGAAGAGCCUUGUAAGGCUUCCAGGACAGGUUUCUAGGGGUCACCAGAUGCAGUUCUAGAGCAAGGCUGAGGAAUCCUGACUCCUAGAAAGAAGGGGGCAGGGAAUUGC
rnacentral:lncRNA from 10 species